rnacentral:rRNA from 1 species
AAUACAUGCAAGUCGAACGAGUUCUCGUUGAUGAUCGGUGCUUGCACCGAGAUCAACAUAGAACGAGUGGCGGACGGGUGAGUAACACGUGGGUAACCUGCCCUUAAGUGGGGGAUAACAUUUGGAAACAGAUGCUAAUACCGCAUAGAUCCAAGAACCGCAUGGUUCUUGGCUGAAAGAUGGCGUAAGCUAUCGCUUUUGGAUGGACCCGCGGCGUAUUAGCUAGUUGGUGAGGUAAUGGCUCACCAAGGCGAUGAUACGUAGCCGAACUGAGAGGUUGAUCGGCCACAUUGGGACUGAGACACGGCCCAAACUCCUACGGGAGGCAGCAGUAGGGAAUCUUCCACAAUGGACGCAAGUCUGAUGGAGCAACGCCGCGUGAGUGAAGAAGGCUUUCGGGUCGUAAAACUCUGUUGUUGGAGAAGAAUGGUCGGCAGAGUAACUGUUGUCGGCGUGACGGUAUCCAACCAGAAAGCCACGGCUAACUACGUGCCAGCAGCCGCGGUAAUACGUAGGUGGCAAGCGUUAUCCGGAUUUAUUGGGCGUAAAGCGAGCGCAGGCGGUUUUUUAAGUCUGAUGUGAAAGCCCUCGGCUUAACCGAGGAAGCGCAUCGGAAACUGGGAACUUGAGUGCAGAAGAGGACAGUGGAACUCCAUGUGUAGCGGUGAAAUGCGUAGAUAUAUGGAAGAACACCAGUGGCGAAGGCGGCUGUCU